rnacentral:rRNA from 1 species
AUUGAACGCUGGCGGCAGGCCUAACACAUGCAAGUCGAGCGGAUGAAGGGAGCUUGCUCCUGGAUUCAGCGGCGGACGGGUGAGUAAUGCCUAGGAAUCUGCCUGGUAGUGGGGGAUAACGUCCGGAAACGGGCGCUAAUACCGCAUACGUCCUGAGGGCGAAAGUGUGGGAUCUUCGGACCUCACGCUAUCAGAUGAGCCUAGGUCGGAUUAGCUAGUUGGUGGGGUAAAGGCCUACCAAGGCGACGAUCCGUAACUGGUCUGAGAGGAUGAUCAGUCACACUGGAACUGAGACACGGUCCAGACUCCUACGGGAGGCAGCAGUGGGGAAUAUUGGACAAUGGGCGAAAGCCUGAUCCAGCCAUGCCGCGUGUGUGAAGAAGGUCUUCGGAUUGUAAAGCACUUUAAGUUGGGAGGAAGGGCAGUAAGUUAAUACCUUGCUGUUUUGACGUUACCAAAAGAAUAAGCACCGGCUAACUUCGUG